AGGGUGAUAACUCAAUGGAAGAGCAUUAACAUUAGAAGUAGGAGGUUGGUGGUUUGAUUCCAUCACUCCCUA
rnacentral:tRNA from 1 species